rnacentral:rRNA from 1 species
CAAUAGCGUAUAUUAAAGUUGUUGCAGUUAAAAAGCUCGUAGUUGAAUUUCUGUACAGUCCCAAUUUUGGCUUCGGUCAGGUUGUGGAUUGUGCAUCCGCUUGCAAAUCUAGUUCGGCAUUCACUUGUUGGCUAGGGGAGUAAGCUUUUUACUUUGAAAAAAUUAGAGUGUUUCAAGCAGGCAAUGGCUCGAAUACAUUAGCAUGGAAUAAUGGAAUAGGACUUUUGUCCAUUUGAUUGGUUAUUGGACUUAGGUAAUGAUUAAAAGGGACAGUUGGGGGCAUUAGUAUUUAAUUGUCAGAGGUGAAAUUCUUGGAUUUAUUAAAGACUAACUUAUGCGAAANCANNNGCCAAGGAUGUUUUCAUNAA